rnacentral:rRNA from 1 species
GACGAACGCUGGCGGCGUGCUUAACACAUGCAAGUCGAGCGAUGAAACACCUUCGGGUGCGGAUUAGCGGCGAACGGGUGAGGAACACGUGAGGAAUCUGCCUUCCACUCUGGGAUAACUCCGGGAAACCGGGGCUAAUACCGGAUACUUUCAACUGGCGGCAUCGCCGGUUGAAGAAAGUUUUUCGGUGGAAGAUGACCUCGCGGCCUAUCAGCUUGUUGGUGAGGUAAAGGCUCACCAAGGCGACGACGGGUAGCCGGCCUGAGAGGGCGACCGGCCACACUGGGACUGAGAAACGGCCCAGACUCCUACGGGAGGCAGCAGUGGGGAAUAUUGGGCAAUGGAGGAAACUCUGACCCAGCGACGCCGCGUGAGGGAUGAAGGCCUUCGGGUUGUAAACCUCUUUCAGCAGGGAAUAAGCGAAAGUGAAGGUACCUGCAGAAGAAGCACCGGCUAACUAUGUGCCAGCAGCCGCAGUAA